GACGAACGCUGGCGGCGUGCCUAAUACAUGCAAGUAGAACGCACAGUUUAUACCGUAGCUUGCUACACCAUAGACUGUGAGUUGCGAACGGGUGAGUAACGCGUAGGUAACCUGCCUGGUAGCGGGGGAUAACUAUUGGAAACGAUAGCUAAUACCGCAUAAUAUUGAUUAUUGCAUGAUAAUUGAUGGAAAGAUGCUAUUGCAUCACUACCAGAUGGACCGGCGUUGUAUUAGCUAGUAGGUGAGGUAACGGCUCACCUAGGCGACGAUACAUAGCCGACCUGAGAGGGUGAUCGGCCACACUGGGACUGAGACACGGCCCAGACUCCUACGGGAGGCAGCAGUAGGGAAUCUUCGGCAAUGGACGGAAGUCUGACCGAGCAACGCCGCGUGAGUGAAGAAGGUUUUCGGAUCGUAAAGCUCUGUUGUAAGAGAAGAACGGGUGUGAGAGUGGAAAGUUCACACUGUGACGGUAUCUUACCAGAAAGGGACGGCUAACUACGUG
rnacentral:rRNA from 1 species